CCCCCCCACCUCUUCCCGGCUGCUUCUGAGUAAGAUUCAAAGAAGAGUAAACCGUCUGUCCAGAGAUGUCUGGGGGCUGUUAAGACUGUGACACCCACAGUCAGAGUCCUGCCCCGAAGAGGAGCACCACUCCCCCUACCUGGACACGAACAGAAUGGUGCUCCGUUAAUUACUGUACCCCCAUGUAACAUGUGCUCCGCUCGGGGCGAUGACACAGUUCCUUAUGUUCAUGGUGGGAUCUGAGAGCAAUGUGAACAACUACAGGUGCACCUCGUGCAGAUGGACGUAACGUAUGAAAUGUGCUGAAUAUAUCCAUGUAUUUAUAUCCUAAUUUGUACACAUGGAAUUGCUGUAUUCAUUUGAUGCUUAUAGAACGUCUCUUCAUAAAAUCUCAAAUGCUGAAAGAUCCUGUCAAAAUACAUGCUUGGUGUGUUUAUUUGGCUCUUUYCUGACUUCCAUUUAUAGAUGAAUUCUGAUGGACCUUUAUAAGAUAACACUAUAGUUGGCCACGUUAAAUGACAUCCUAUUCAUACGCCUGGUCAUCGAAGCAGGAUGAAAAGAAUAGGCUACGUCUUAAUGAACUACCAAUUUUGGAUGAAUAGCCUAUCAUGUUAAGAGAUAUGCAUGUAAAAAGAUAUGUUUGGUGAUAUGUCAAAUAGGCUACAAAAAGGGAUUUCGUUGUAAACUGCUGAAAAGCCAGUUCACCCAAUCCCAUCGGCUCCACAAGUCACGUAUACAUUCGGGUAUAUUCACUUCWGUCAAAGAAUGCAAAUGACGGCAUGACGAUUUCUACAAGUCAAUUGAUUUUCCCAACAAGCACAUUUUGAUGAGUACACUACACCUGUCAGUUAUACUCAGGCAGUUCUGGUUGGUCAAUACUUUAUGUUUAGUUACAUGUCGGUGUAAGCAUACAGCUAGUAUGGCGAUAGUGGGGGGUGGGGGGUCUUGAAGACAAAAGCAGCCUAGGCUACACUGUUGUGAGACUUUAUGUCUGGAUUACAAACUAAUGCAUUUAACAUCAAAAUGCCCAACUCUCCCGAGUCGUGACAUCCCGCCAAGGAGACGCAUAUUCUCUCAACAAUCCUGUUCGAGUUGUGUGGUUCACAAAUGUAC